rnacentral:rRNA from 1 species
CUGGAGGUAUCAGAAGUGCGAAUGCUGACAUAAGUAACGAUAAAGCGGGUGAAAAGCCCGCUCGCCGGAAGACCAAGGGUUCCUGUCCAACGUUAAUCGGGGCAGGGUGAGUCGACCCCUAAGGCGAGGCCGAAAGGCGUAGUCGAUGGGAAACGGGUUAAUAUUCCCGUACUUGGUGUUACUGCGAAGGGGGGACGGAGAAGGCUAUGUUGGCCGGGCGACGGUUGUCCCGGUUUAAGCGUGUAGGUGUGUGUUCCAGGUAAAUCCGGUUCACUUUAACACUGAGGCGUGAUGACGAGGCACUACGGUGCUGAAGCAACAAAUGCCCUGCUUCCAGGAAAAGCCUCUAAGCAUCAGGUAACAUCAAAUCGUACCCCAAACCGACACAGGUGGUCAGGUAGAGAAUACCAAGGCGCUUGAGAGAACUCGGGUGAAGGAACUAGGCAAAAUGGUGCCGUAACUUCGGGAGAAGGCACGCUGACACGUAGGUGAAGUGAUUUACUCAUGGAGCUGAAGUCAGUCGAAGAUACCAGCUGGCUGCAACUGUUUAUUAAAAACACAGCACUGUGCAAACACGAAAGUGGACGUAUACGGUGUGACGCCUGCCCGGUGCCGGAAGGUUAAUUGAUGGGGUCAGCGCAAGCGAAGCUCCUGAUCGAAGCCCCGGUAAACGGCGGCCGUAACUAUAACGGUCCUAAGGUAGCGAAAUUCCUUGUCGGGUAAGUUCCGACCUGCACGAAUGGCGUAAUGAUGGCCAGGCUGUCUCCACCCGAGACUCAGUGAAAUUGAACUCGCUGUGAAGAUGCAGUGUACCCGCGGCAAGACGGAAAGACCCCGUGAACCUUUACUAUAGCUUGACACUGAACAUUGAGCCUUGAUGUGUAGGAUAGGUGGGAGGCUUUGAAGUGUGGACGCCAGUCUGCAUGGAGCCGACCUUGAAAUACCACCCUUUAAUGUUUGAUGUUCUAACGUGGACCCGUUACCCGGGUUGCGGACAGUGUCUGGUGGGUAGUUUGACUGGGGCGGUCUCCUCCUAAAGAGUAACGGAGGAGCACGAAGGUUGGCUAAUCCUGGUCGGACAUCAGGAGGUUAGUGCAAUGGCAUAAGCCAGCUUGACUGCGAGCGUGACGGCGCGAGCAGGUGCGAAAGCAGGUCAUAGUGAUCCGGUGGUUCUGAAUGGAAGGGCCAUCGCUCAACGGAUAAAAGGUACUCCGGGGAUAACAGGCUGAUACCGCCCAAGAGUUCAUAUCGACGGCGGUGUUUGGCACCUCGAUGUCGGCUCAUCACAUCCUGGGGCUGAAGUAGGUCCCAAGGGUAUGGCUGUUCGCCAUUUAAAGUGGUACGCGAGCUGGGUUUAGAACGUCGUGAGACAGUUCGGUCCCUAUCUGCCGUGGGCGCUGGAGAACUGAGGGGGGCUGCUCCUAGUACGAGAGGACCGGAGUGGACGCAUCACUGGUGUUCGGGUUGUCAUGCCAAUGGCACUGCCCGGUAGCUAAAUGCGGAAGAGAUAAGUGCUGAAAGCAUCUAAGCACGAAACUUGCCCCGAG